rnacentral:rRNA from 1 species
UACGUAGGGGGGCGAGCGUUUGUCCGGAGUUACUGGGGCGUAAAGGGCAUGCAGGCGGUCGGACGCGUUUCGGGUGACAGCGGGUGGCUUAACUACCCGAGUGGUCGAAAGACGGUUUGACUUGAGGACGCGAGAGGGACACGGAAUUCCGGGUGGAGUGGUGAAAUGCGUAGAGAUCCGGGAGGAACACCGAAGGCGAAGGCAGUGUCCUGGCGCGUAACUGACGCUGAGGUGCGAAAGCCAGGGGAGCGAACGGG